UGGGGAAUAUUGCACAAUGGGCGCAAGCCUGAUGCAGCGACGCCGCGUGGGGGAUGACGGCCUUCGGGUUGUAAACCUCUUUCACCAUCGGCGAAGCCGGGAGCUUUUGUUUCUGGUGACGGUAGGUGGAGAAGAAGCACCGGCCAACUACGUGCCAGCAGCCGCGGUAAUACGUAGGGUGCGAGCGUUGUCCGGAAUUACUGGGCGUAAAGAGCUCGUAGGUGGUUUGUCGCGUUGUCCGUGAAAUUCCCUGGCUUAACUGGGGGCGUGCGGGCGAUACGGGCAGACUGGAGUACUGCAGGGGAGACUGGAAUUCCUGGUGUAGCGGUGGAAUGCGCAGAUAUCAGGAGGAACACCGGUGGCGAAGGCGGGUCUCUGGGCAGUAACUGACGCUGAGGAGCGAAAGCGUGGGGAGCGAACAGGAUUAGAUACCCCCGUAGUCC
rnacentral:rRNA from 1 species